UGUAUGUAUUCUGAGAACUAUGAAUACAUUUUCCUUAUUUAGUAUUAAUUUCCGUAUUCAUUAGGUAUCUAUAAUAGAUUAGAUUAUUAAUUAAAACUUGACCGAAAACUUGAUAACAAAUUUUACAGGUAAAUAUUUUUCAUUAAAUACAACAAGACGAUGGGUUUACUAAAGGUAUGUGUGUUUAAUAAUAACAUUAUUAUAUAGAGAUGGCAAAUUAAUUCUUUUGGAUAUAAAAUUUUCAACGUUACUAGUAUAGUAAUUUCAUCCAUCAUUUAGUUAAAGUUAAUUAUAUUCUUUACGUUACUUUUAUACAAUAUUUUUAUACUAAUCACGUGAUAAAAGCCGCGGGUUAAAACUCGUAUAUACUUGUGUCAUAUAGGUGCAUACGACAGUCAAUUUUAAAAUUUAUAAGUAUUUGACAUAAUUUAUCAGAAUGUUUGUAACAUAUAAAUAAGACAAUUAAAGGACACGCAUACUUGUAUUUAAAUCGUAAAUGAUACAAUUUUCAAAAUAAAGAUCAUUAUUUUAAUAAUCCUUACUUGGUCUUUACUAAUAUUAUAAAAUGCGAAAGUAAAUUUCGUUGCUUUUUGGCAUCUUAACUGUAUCAAUAUAUCUCGGUCACAUGGAUGAGGGCGCGGUUAAAAUCUAGUAGGAAAAUAGAUGAUUAUCUAUAAUAAAAAGUACCUACUUAACACUGAUGCAGAUAUGUCAGUAUGUAUGUAUCUUUUGUAUAUCGGUACGUAUAGGGUAGUUAGUCUGUUGCUCUAUUUGUCUUAUAAGAUCAAAGGCGACUUUUUUGGCACAUAGAUGGCUGGUUUUGCUAUGUAACGAGCGGCGUCGCGGCCGUAGUCUGGCUCGGAAUAGACGGGCGGCUGGCGCAUUCGCUUACAGAAAUAACGCAGACACUGCCGACCGACAGCGAUGUUUUUGGAACUAUAUUAAUAUGCAAGACGAGCCAUCGCACCUCGAAUACCCACGCGGUUUCAAAGCAGUAUCGGUUUGGAAAUAUCAUUACUGGGAGUUGGUUCUACUGGCAGGAAAUAUUGUGCAACCAUUAAUAAUUUUUCAUGACGAGUUGCAUACAGUGAUAAAAUUUAGCAGCUGGUGGCAAUCCAAACAUGAUUGAGCUUAGAAUAAUGUUUUUGAAGUGUUUAUUUGUGUGUACACAAACACUCAAAACAGAACACUCAAGAUCAUCUUUUCAAGUGAUACUUGAAAAGGCGAAAUCAUAAACGACCCUUUUCUUAUUAGAUUGCAUCAUAAGUGGACUUAUUAUUAACUGGAAACAGUAAUAUGAAAGUAUAGGUCUUUUGUUUAGUUUUCACUCCUAAUCUAAACCUACUAUAUGGUAAUCCUUAACGACCGGAGUGUCCACCCACAAUCGAUUCGCUCUGGGCGCAAAUUAUAGCGGCGUCGCUUGCGCGUAGCGAAUUAUCGGCGCCGACCCUACCAUAAACGUCUUUGAAUCAAGAAUAGAGACUUGCUAGUAUACAAAU